AUUGAACGCUGGCGGCAGGCCUAACACAUGCAAGUCGAAUGGUAACAGGAAAUAGCUUGCUGUUUCGCUGACGAGUGGCGGACGGGUGAGUAAUGUCUGGGAAACUGCCUGAUGGAGGGGGAUAACUACUGGAAACGGUAGCUAAUACCGCAUAACGUCGCAAGACCAAAGAGGGGGACCUUCGGGCCUCUUGCCAUCAGAUGUGCCCAGAUGGGAUUAGCUAGUAGGUGGGGUAACGGCUCACCUAGGCGACGAUCCCUAGCUGGUCUGAGAGGAUGACCAGCCACACUGGAACUGAGACACGGUCCAGACUCCUACGGGAGGCAGCAGUGGGGAAUAUUGCACAAUGGGCGCAAGCCUGAUGCAGCCAUGCCGCGUGUAUGAAGAAGGCCUUCGGGUUGUAAAGUACUUUCAGCGGGGAGGAAGGGAGUAAAGUUAAUACCUUUGCUCAUUGACGUUACCCGCAGAAGAAGCACCGGCUAACUCCGUG
rnacentral:rRNA from 1 species